GGGUGGUUUGAUUUUUCAUUCAGUUUCUCAAACUGUGAUUUGUUGAGACAAAAAGAAGCAUGGACUUGAUCAAGAAGCUGCUGGGCUUGUUGUAUAGGGAUGUUCGAGAUUUGAGUUGGGAGGUUCUUGAUCUUCAUUUUGCAGUAGAACGAAGUAUCUGAUUUGUUUGAACUGCUCAAAUACUUCACAGCCAAGUUUUUUACCACAAUACGAACGAAAGGACACGGAUCCAUUGGAAAUAUGAGGUUCUUGCUCUUCAAGAACCGGCUCGUCAGGCGACCGACAAUUUGGUACACAACACGAAAACGAGAUCGGAAAAAUUAC
rnacentral:lncRNA from 1 species